rnacentral:rRNA from 1 species
AGCUCCAGUAGCGUAUAUUAAAGUUGUUGCAGUUAAAAAGCUCGUAGUUGGAUUUCUGCUUGUAGCGUUGGGCCCGCUCGGGUUACCGAUGUGUGUGCCUGUUCGCUCCUUGCAUCCUUCUAGAGAACGGCUCUCUCCUUCAUUGGCUGUGGAGUCGCAAUCUAGAUCUUUUACUUUGAAAAAAUUAGAGUGUUUAAAGCAGGCUUGUGCUAUGAAUACAUUAGCAUGGAAUAAUAAUUUAGGACUUUAGUUCUAUUUUGUUGGUUUCUAGAACUGAAGUAAUGAUUGAUAGGGAUAGUUGGGGGUGCUAGUAUUCAGCGGCCAGAGGUGAAAUUCUUAGAUUCGCUGAAGACUAACUUAUGCGAAAGCAUUCACCAAGGAUGUCUUCUUUA